ACUAGUAAUCGCAGAUCAGAAUGCUGCGGUGAAUGCGUUCCCGGGUCUUGUACACACCGCCCGUCACACCACGGAAGUUGGGGCGCCCGAAGCCACUUAGCUAACCCAUUUGGGAAGCGAGUGUCGAAGGUGAAAUCAAUAACUGGGGUGAAGUCGUAACAAGGUAAC
rnacentral:rRNA from 1 species